rnacentral:rRNA from 1 species
GCGAAAAGUACCGGGGAGCUGGCAACAAGCUUUGAUCCGGUAAUGUCCGAAUGGGGAAACCCACCCGCUUGCGGGUAUCCUGCAGUGAAUACAUAGCUGCUGGAAGCGAACCUGGUGAACUGAAAUAUCUAAGUAACCGGAGGAAAAGAAAUCAACCGAGAUUCCCUGAGUAGUGACGAGCGAACGGGGACCAGCCCUUAAGCUGGAUUGGUUUUAGAAGAACAGUCUGGAAAGACUGGCCAUAGACGGUGACAGCCCGGUAUUCGAAAAGACCUUU